rnacentral:misc_RNA from 1 species
GCCUUGGUAUGGNAACUUACUAAGUGAUAACUUUCAAUUCAGAGAAACCCUGGAAUUAAUAAAAAUGGGCAAUCCUGAGCCAAAUCACGUUUUCCGAAAACAAGCAAAGGUUCAGAAAGCGAAAAUAAAAAAGGAUAGGUGCAGAGACUCGAUGGAAGCUAUUCUAACGAAUGGAGUUAAUUGUAUACAUUGGUAUAGGAAUCCUUCUAUCGAAACUUCAGAAAAGUGAAGGAUAAGCCUGUAUACAUAAUACAGAAGAAUUGGUGUGAAUCGAUUCCAUAUUGAAGAAAGAAUCCAAUAUUAAUUGAUCAAACCAUUCACUCCAUAAUCUGAUAGAUCUUUUGAAGAACUGAUUAAUCGGACGAGAAUAAAGAUAGAGUCCCGUUCUACAUGUCAAUACUGGCAACAAUGAAAUUUAUAGUAAGAGGAAAAUCCGUCGAUUUCAAAAAUCAUGAGGGUUCAAGUCCCUCUAUCCCCAAAAAGACCAUUUGACUUCCUAAUUCUUUAUCAUAUCCUUUUGAUUUAUCCUUUUUCAUUAGCGGUUCAAAACUCCUUAUCUUUCUCAUUCACUUUUAUACAAAAGGAUCUGAGCGAAAAAGCUGUUCUCUUAUCACAUGUCACAUUAUAUAUGAUACAUGUACAAAUGAACAUCUUUGAGCAAGGAAUCCCCGUUUGAAUGAUUCACGAUCGAGAUUUUUAUUCAUACUGAAACUUACAAAGUUGUUCUUUUGACAAAUUAUAGGAACUGGAUGAGGCUUUGUAAUACCCUUUCAAUUGACAUAGACCCACGUUCUCUAGUAAAAUGAAAUGAGGAUGAGACAUCAGGAAUAGUUGGGAUAGCUCAGUGGUAGAGCAGAG